CCCUUAGAUGUCCUGGGCCGCACGCGCGCUACACUGAUGCAUGCAACGAGUUUAUAACCUUGGCCUGAAAGGUCUGGGUAAUCUUUUGAACGUGCAUCGUGAUAGGGAUAGAUUAUUGCAAUUGUUAAUCUUUAACGAGGAAUUCCUAGUAAACGCGAGUCAUCAGCUCGCAUUGAUUACGUCCCUGCCCUUUGUACACACCGCCCGUCGCACCUACCGAUUGAAUGGUUCGGUGAAGAUCUCGGACUUCGAUAUUUAUUCUUUAUUGAGUUUAUAUUGUGGGAAGUUAUCUAAACCUCAUCAUUUAGAGGAAGGUGAAGUCGUAACA
rnacentral:rRNA from 1 species